rnacentral:ncRNA from 1 species
UCCCACCCUGAAAUCGGUUCAACCAGAGAUAGGGUCCAACAUUUGAAAGAGCACCACAUGUCUUGUGGUGUUUGGUUCCCCCUUGGUGGCCAUUGUAAAUAUGGUGAACUGAGUACCAUCCAUGCCCGAUCGUACUCAUAUCUGCCUGCUUGGGUUUUUCAAUGUCCACUAGGUUAACGAUCU